rnacentral:rRNA from 1 species
AGAGGAGCUUGCUCUUCUUGGAUGAGUUGCGAACGGGUGAGUAACGCGUAGGUAACCUGCCUUGUAGCGGGGGAUAACUAUUGGAAACGAUAGCUAAUACCGCAUAACAAUGGAUGACACAUGUCAUUUAUUUGAAAGGGGCAAUUGCUCCACUACAAGAUGGACCUGCGUUGUAUUAGCUAGUAGGUGAGGUAAUGGCUCACCUAGGCGACGAUACAUAGCCGACCUGAGAGGGUGAUCGGCCACACUGGGACUGAGACACGGCCCAGACUCCUACGGGAGGCAGCAGUAGGGAAUCUUCGGCAAUGGGGGCAACCCUGACCGAGCAACGCCGCGUGAGUGAAGAAGGUUUUCGGAUCGUAAAGCUCUGUUGUAAGUCAAGAACGGGUGUGAGAGUGGAAAGUUCACACUGUGACGGUAGCUUACCAGAAAGGGACGGCUAACUACGUGCCAGCAGCCGCGGUAAUACGUAGGUCCCGAGCGUUGUCCGGAUUUAUUGGGCGUAAAGCGAGCGCAGGCGGUUUGAUAAGUCUGAAGUUAAAGGCUGUGGCUCAACCAUAGUUCGCUUUGGAAACUGUCAAACUUGAGUGCAGAAGGGGAGAGUGGAAUUCCAUGUGUAGCGGUGAAAUGCGUAGAUAUAUGGAGGAACACCGGUGGCGAAAGCGGCUCUCUGGUCUGUAACUGACGCUGAGGCUCGAAAGCGUGGGGAGCGAACAGGAUUAGAUACCCUGGUAGUCCACGCCGUAAACGAUGAGUGCUAGGUGUUGGAUCCUUUCCGGGAUUCAGUGCCGCAGCUAACGCAUUAAGCACUCCGCCUGGGGAGUACGACCGCAAGGUUGAAACUCAAAGGAAUUGACGGGGGCCCGCACAAGCGGUGGAGCAUGUGGUUUAAUUCGAAGCAACGCGAAGAACCUUACCAGGUCUUGACAUCCCGAUGCUAUUUCUAGAGAUAGAAAGUUACUUCGGUACAUCGGUGACAGGUGGUGCAUGGUUGUCGUCAGCUCGUGUCGUGAGAUGUUGGGUUAAGUCCCGCAACGAGCGCAACCCUUAUUGUUAGUUGCCAUCAUUCAGUUGGGCACUCUAGCGAGACUGCCGGUAAUAAACCGGAGGAAGGUGGGGAUGACGUCAAAUCAUCAUGCCCCUUAUGACCUGGGCUACACACGUGCUACAAUGGUUGGUACAACGAGUUGCGAGUCGGUGACGGCGAGCUAAUCUCUUAAAGCCAAUCUCAGUUCGGAUUGUAGGCUGCAACUCGCCUACAUGAAGUCGGAAUCGCUAGUAAUCGCGGAUCAGCACGCCGCGGUGAAUACGUUCCCGGGCCUUGUACACACCGCCCGUCACACCACGAGAGUUUGUAACACCCGAAGUCGGUGAGGUA